rnacentral:tmRNA from 1 species
GGGGGUGAUCGGUUUCGACUUGGGACGGUAGUUCCAGGAGAAGCGGGCCGAGGAUCCAAGGUCAACUCGUAAACGACCCUUGGAAACAAAUAAGUGCCAACUCUAAGCGCACGAACUUCGCUCUCGCUGCCUGAGCAGUGAUCGAAGGGUCAGCCCGGGGUCGUCUCCGACCCGGAAUCUGGCCUCGUCAGGAGACUUACCCGCUCGAGCUGAGUCUCGGGGCUGAGCGGGGACAUCAACUGAGGCUGGGCCUGGCUACGACCGUGCUGGUGCAAGCGUAGGGGCCGAGUAGACCGACAUACACCAGCUGCGCCCGGAGAAGACCUGGUUCGCUGCUCGAGGACGCGGGUUCGAUUCCCGCCACCUCCAC